UCCGGAUCAAUAACGGAGGCGUGCAAAUAUUUCCUUGGGCUGGACGAAAAUCAACCCUCGGAUGCAAAGGCAGAAGGGAGCUUGACUGCAAGACCCACCCGUCGAGUAGGGAUGAAAGUCGGCCUUAGUGAUCCGACGGUGCCGAUUUAUC
rnacentral:ncRNA from 1 species